rnacentral:lncRNA from 1 species
UCGACUCCUCCCCUCCCCCAAGCUCAUCACCAGGGAGCCGCCGCCGCCGGUGGUACAGGGGCCGCGCGAGGGAGGCCAAGCGCCGCCGAGCAAGAGCUGCUCCUCAUGACCAACUCCGCCACCGCUCGUCGACGAAGCAGGAGCCAUGAUGCCACCCCGCCACCGGUCUGCUUCAUGCUCCUGCACGCCACGCGCUGAGGGUCUCCGCCGCCGCACGCCACGCACUCGAUUCUUUGUCGGUUCCUUCAUCAGUUCGUCGGGUACCCAGCAGGUAUGUUCACCCCUUCUCUUCCCUUUACUUCUCUUUUGGACGGAUCUUGUUGCAAAGCACUACCCAGUUUUAAUUUGACUUGUCUGUGACAAAUUUUGAAAAACUAGAUGUGUAGCUGGUGUCCUGCAUCAUUUUCUAAAGUGCGGCAUAAUGGGAUGCCUACUUCAAUUCUGCGCUGUAACAAUAGCUUCCCUGUCUUGUGGGAAUGCUAGCUUCAGUUUUUAAGUCUUGUCUAAGGUCUGAGUGUUGUAAAAAAAAUUGUUUUAGUUCAGAGCAUCAGCAGCCCGUUAUCAUCAAUAACUUUUGUUAUUUGUCUAUGUUUUUAUUGUCUUCAGCUGAUCACAAAUCUUUAUGAAUAGAAGUACUGGUAGUCAGUAGUCUACAUUUGCCAUUUAAAUCUGAGGUGAUAGUAUUGAAACUGAUUCAAUGACCUUCCUGGAAAUCUUCACGCCCUGCUAUUGAAUCUACUGCUGCAGUUUUCUAUGCAGUGCCCAAAUAUCUUCAUUUCUGCCUCUGUAGCGAUAUGAUUGUUUACAUUCUCCAUUUGUCUGGCUCUAUUGUACUGCAACAAUUUUACAUUCUACUUCUCUCUUGCUCCAUUGUACUAAAACAUUGAGGCUUGUCUGAUGUGCAUAGAAGAGACUGGGACAGGGAAUACAGGGUAAGAAAGGCACAUGCCUGAAACUCUCCAAAUCUGAUUUGCUUCAUUAAUCGUUUGUACAUGUCAACUCUCCUAAUCUGAUUCUGGCAUGACUUAAUCCUCAAGGAAUAAUAAAUAUCUUGUGAAAAUUUUUGUUUGUUAUAUUAAUAUAACAUCAUUUGUAAAAAAAGACUGUAGAGUAUAUAAGGAUGAUUUUGUGUAGAUCCCAUUCAGAUGAAAUAUGUAUUUAGCACGGCCAAAAAUUUUAGCAGAUGCCUCUUGUUUACCUUUGAGUGUGAUCUAACAGUUGUAAUAGGAGCAUAAUGCUUUUUAACAAAUUUAACUGAAUAGCUAAUGUCAAAAUGGAGCACUACAGCCACAUAGGGUCAUUAUUCUUACAAGAAAGGACCUAGAUUCAGCAUUCAAAGUAGACAUAUUUAACACAGUCAUUUGUUGGCAUAUAAAUCAUAAAACUAGAUUUACAGAAAAUAACAUAUAGUUCAUCAAAUUAUUUCAGUUAAUGAGCCUUUCAUAGUAUAUUCAUUAGUAUACUGUCACUGAUUGCUGACAGGGUGCAGGCCUUCUGUGUGCUUUGAUCUGCUUUGCUCUUAAUGUUCAUAGCCCUGUGCUCCUCAUCCACCCCACCUUGGUGGCAUUUGGAUAGGUAGAUCGAAAGGGAUCAGGAUAUGUACCCAGUGAGAAUUAUCAUGGAGUGCACAGAGCUAUAUGUUUGGUUGUUUACAAGUGGCCAAAUAGGCUUGCUCAACACGGGAUUGACUUAUUUAUCCUCCUGAAAUGUAAGUAGCAUUCCAGUUUGUGGCCAUCAUGCAAGUACAUAUGCAUCGGUUUUCAGUUCAACCAUCUAACUGCUUUAAAACUUAGUGCUGAUCAUAGAUGCAGCGAAAUGGUUUCUAUUCAGGGCUCAUAUACUAUAUUUGUUUCAUAAACUUAAUUAUUAUUGCAGGACUACUACAAAGUUCUAGAGGUUGACUAUGACGCAUCUUACAAUACCAUCAAAUCAAGUUAUCGAAAAAUACUUUUGGUAAGAUGUUGUACAACCUCCCCUCAUCAAGCUAGAAGAUAAUUAUGUGCACACCUGACGAUGUUCUACCUUUUCUGAAUCGCAUGGCAUUGAGCGGUUGACGCAGUUGUAACUUGUAAGUAUCUAAUUAUAAAGAGCCAGAGGUUUUCUACCCAUCUCAAUGUCCCCAAGUGCACUACCUAUGUU